GGGGGUGUAGCUCAGCUGGGAGAGCACCUGCCUUGCAAGCAGGGGGUCAGCGGUUCGAUCCCGCUCAUCUCC
rnacentral:tRNA from 1 species